CAGAGGGGGCAAGCGUUGUUCGGAAUUACUGGGCGUAAAGGGCGCGUAGGUGGCCUGUUAAGUCGAACGUGAAAUCCCUGGGCUCAACCCAGGAACUGCGUCCGAUACUGGCAGGCUUGAAUCCGGGAGAGGGAUGCGGAAUUCCAGGUGUAGCGGUGAAAUGCGUAGAUAUCUGGAGGAACACCGGUGGCGAAGGCGGCAUCCUGGACCGGCAUUGACGCUGAGGCGCGAAAGCCAGGGGAGCAAACGGGAUUAGAUACCCCGGUAGUCCUGGCCCUAAACGAUGAAUGCUUGGUGUGGCGGGUAUCGAUCCCUGCCGUGCCGAAGCUAACGCAUUAAGCAUUCCGCCUGGGGAGUACGGUCGCAAGGCUG
rnacentral:rRNA from 1 species